UUAGAACGCAGAGCCCAGGCAUGACAAUGGACCGUGCAGUUGAUUGGGUACUGAGGUCUAAGACCCACAAAACUCUGCUAUUCCAUUAAAACAAAGAAUUAGAAAAAUUAUGAAAAACAGCCUGAAGCUGCUUUCUUUGUUCUUAACCGACUGUGCUUCUAUUGAGAAUUUCAAAUGGAAUUUAUUCCUAUGGCAGGGUUUUCACAGCUUGCCUUCCGUGACUUGUUUAUGUCUUCAAAAUCAGUUACAGCUGGGGAUACCCAUACACCACCAACUCAACUGCCAGCAGGGCUCGCAGUCUUGGCUCCCUCUAAACUACAGCUUCUGGAUGCUGACCCUGGGAAAGUAGUCCCGGAAGAUUUCACAUCUAUGAUGCCAUUCUCUUCUCACCUAGAGCUGAUUCUUCAUCCCCAGACAACCAGCAUAAUUUGUUUCUUUUACAGCUUGUUUAUCUGUCUAUCUAUCUAUCUAUCUACCAUCUACUAUCUAUCACUGAUUAUUGGUUUGUUUGACUUUUUUUUUUCAAGACAAGGUUUCUCUGUGUAACCUUGGCUUUUCUGUAACUCAUUCUGUAGACCAGGCUGGCCUCGAACACAAAAAUCUACCUGCUUCCUUCUCCCAAAUGCUGGGAUUAAAGGUAUCUAGCGUCAUCCCAGAAUGAGCUUUAUUAUGUAAAUAAAAACAAAAAGGUUAUUUUAGAUAAACCCAAAUGAGAAAAUUUAAGAAAACCAAGGAAAACAGAAGAAUUAAAGAGAAUAAAGGAAACAAAAAUUCUUCCAUAAAUGAAGUUCAUAAACGAAAAAAAAAAUGAUGUCUACAGUUGGCUUUAGAAAUAGUACACACUUUCAAAAUCUGUUUAUUUUGUCAAAACAGAUAACACAAUGAAAGUUAGGGAAGUCUAAAUGCAAACCUGUAGGGUAGAAAGAAACUAACCCCAAAAUAGUAUAACACAUAAUCCCUAACUUAAAAGGUAGAAAUACUUAAUUACAUUCUUUCCAAGAAAAUAAAAAUGUGAAAAUCAGUGAGAAAUUGAGGUAUAUAAACAUCUGAAAACAUUUCAACAAAUAAUAACUCUAAAUAUAUUGAUAAAGAGUUUUAUGCCUGGUCUUUUAAUGGUUUUCAGAAGUUGUAACAAAUUUUAAAGCUUUAUUAAUUGAUCCAAAACAACAGUCAGACUUUAGCAUAUCACAUUAUUAAAAGCAUAUGUUAAUAAUCUUUAUGAAUAGGAAAACAAGUUCUAAUACUAUAAACAACAUAUCAGAACAUAUUCUUUGUAAUUUUACUACAUAGUUUUCAAAUUAUGUUUAUUAAUACAUAUUUUUAUUUUAUAUUCAUAAAUGUUUAUUUUGUGACGAAAGACCUAUCAUGAAAAUGAAAAUCAUAGUAAAUAUAUUUAUUUUAAAACUAUAUUCAGUAUUGAUAAAGUCAAUAAAAAUAUAACAAACAUCUUUUGAGAUUUAAUAAAUUUUGUUUUAAAAGAUUUGAACAAAGGAAAUAAAAUGUAUUUCUGGAUAGAAAGGAACACAUUUGGAAAAUUGAAAUAGUAUCUUGUACAUGACACUAACAUUUUUGCUAAAUAAAAACUCAAAUUCAAAUCCAGCACCCAAAUGAUGUAAAAUGUACUUGAGAAGUCACAUUUUCUACACGUGUAUAAUUUGCAUAUUGGAAAUUUUAAAAUGGAAACAUUCUUUAUUGAGUAACACUAAGGAGUUACCAUUCUAUAGUAUGUAAAUAAAGAGGUUGAUACAUAGAAUUAAAUGUCUGCAUAUUGAAGAUUCUUGUGAUUGUGUUAAUCUUACCUAAUGUACACCUUAAACAUUACUUCUAAGGAGAGCAGAGUUUUAAGUAUAAUUUGGCAGAAUUAAUAAAAAUCUUAACAUCUAUGAAUGAGCUUUAUAUAAUACAUUUAUAUCAAGGAAUGAGAACCCAAGCAUGUUUAGGAGAUAUAAUUGUGACUAAAUGUUUAUUUCACUAUUAUAUAUCUACUACACAUUAAGUAUAAAAUAAUGUAAAUUUGAGAGAAGAUAUAUAAGAAUUAUGUCACUUAUUACCAAAGGGAAAACUGUCUUGAUUUAUGUUUAACAGGUUUAUUGACAUAUAAUUUCCAUACUGAAAAGCUCAACUACUUUGAGUAUACAACUCAAUGCUUUUUAUUACAGUCACUGAGUUGUACAACUGUCAGCAUUCAGCUUAAAUUGGGCGGUAACCUUUAGGACUUGAGAUAUUUUAACUUUAAUGUAGGCAUAUUCUGUUUUAAAUUUCUUUUCAUAUGUGGCGUUAGCUACAUCUUAUAUUUGGCUUUAGGGGUCUCCUCCACAUUUACUUCCAAGUGUUUCUUAAGGUACUUUGUUUCCUUCUUUGGCCCACUGAUUACUUGUUUCUUAAUCUCACAUUUGUGAUUUUUGUUGUUGUUGUUGUUGUUACAAAUCUCUAACUUCAUAGCUCUACAUUCCCAAAACAUACUGUUUUAUGAAUUCUGUUAUUUUUCAUAAAUUGGUGCUUGUGGACUUGCACAGUAUCUAUUGUUGAUAGUUAAGUAUAUUGAGUAUCUUUUGCUGUUGGCUUCCACCGCUGUGUUUUUAUAAGUUUUGAUCUUUUACCUAAUUUAUAUAUUUGUUGAAGCAGAGUGGAAACUGAAGUACUGGAGGCUUGAAUUCUUACAUAACUGAAUAGUAGCCUUCUGUUCAUUCACUCUUGAUUCUCUAUCUUUGGGCUAUGUUGUUUGGUUCAUAUAUCAAUAAUUAUUGGUAUCUUCUUGAUAGCUUGAUACUUUAAUGAUUAAACACAAUUUACUUAAUUUUGGUAACCGUGUUUUAUUCUUUUAAAGUUAUGUGAUAUUGAUACAGCCAUAUAACACUCUUACAGUUGUUCAAAAGAUAUAUAUUCUCACCUUUGACUUAUAUUCGACAAGAUGGUUGUAUGUAUGUGUAUUUGUUUUAAGAGUGUCACUGUAAAUAGUACAAGGUUGGAUAUUGAUUUCCUUCUGCAUUAUUCACUUUGACAUUGUAUUUCUUUUGAUUUCAUAGUUUAAUCCAUUCGCAAUUAUUGUAUUAGUGUUAUCUAUAUGGCUGAAUUUCCUGACCUAUUUUGCUAUCUGUUUACUUUAUAUCUUGUAUCUGUUUCUAUUCCUUUCUUUCUGUUUCAUUACCUUUUGAAAUAAGGGAAUAAUGCUUUCUUCAAUCAUUUAGUCCAUUUAGGAAAUGUUAACUCCAUACAUUUAUUUUUCA
rnacentral:lncRNA from 1 species